UAUACCGUGAAACUGCGAAUGGCUCAUUAAAUCAGUUAUCGUUUAUUUGAUAGUACCUUACUACUUGGACAACCGUGGUAAUUCUAGAGCUAAUACAUGCUAAAAACCCCAACUUCGGGAGGGGUGUAUUUAUUAGAUAAAAAACCAACGCCCUUCGGGGCUUCUUGGUGAUUCAUGAUAACUUUACGGAUCGCAUGGCCUUGCGCCGGCGACGGUUCAUUCAAAUUUCUGCCCUAUCAACUUUCGAUGGUAAGGUAUUGGCUUACCAUGGUUUCAACGGGUAACGGGGAAUUAGGGUUCGAUUCCGGAGAGGGAGCCUGAGAAACGGCUACCACAUCCAAGGAAGGCAGCAGGCGCGCAAAUUACCCAAUCCCGACACGGGGAGGUAGUGACAAUAAAUACUGAUACAGGGCUCUUUUGGGUCUUGUAAUUGGAAUGAGUACAAUUUAAACCUCUUAACGAGGAACAAUUGGAGGGCAAGUCUGGUGCCAGCAGCCGCGGUAAUUCCAGCUCCAAUAGCGUAUAUUAAAGUUGUUGCAGUUAAAAAGCUCGUAGUUGAAACUUGGGUCUGGCUGGCAGGUCCGCCUCACCGCGUGUACUUGUCCGGCCGGGCCUUCCUCCUGGAGAAUCUCAUGCCCUUCACUGGGCGUGUUGGGGACCAGGACUUUUACUUUGAAAAAAUUAGAGUGUUCAAAGCAGGCCUUUGCUCGAAUACGUUAGCAUGGAAUAAUAGAAUAGGACGUGCGGUCCUAUUUUGUUGGUUUCUAGGACCGCCGUAAUGAUUAAUAGGGACAGUCGGGGGCAUCAGUAUUCAAUUGUCAGAGGUGAAAUUCUUGGAUUUAUUGAAGACUAACUACUGCGAAAGCAUUUGCCAAGGAUGUUUUCAUUAAUCAGUGAACGAAAGUUAGGGGAUCGAAGACGAUCAGAUACCGUCGUAGUCUUAACCGUAAACUAUGCCGACUAGGGAUCGGGCGAUGUUCUUUUUCUGACUCGCUCGGCACCUUACGAGAAAUCAAAGUU
rnacentral:rRNA from 1 species